GAUGAUCAGUGAACCAAACACGGACCCAAUUCCAGCACCUAGAAUAGAAAUGUGUUUACUGUUACUAAAUGAAAAAAAAGGAUGUGUUUCAGGGAAUGGAUUCAAAAAGCAAAUAAUAUAAGGAACGCUAUCAUCAGACAAAAGAGACCCAUUGCUUCAGAUAGCGCAAAUCCAAGGAUAGCAUAGUUGAAAACUUGCUGCUUCAAGGAGGGAUUACGUGCAUAACCAAUUAUUAAUGAUCCAAAAA